rnacentral:rRNA from 1 species
AAACCGGCGCAGCUUCGCGCCAAGUAUCGAUCGAAAACACGUGAGCCUUAUAUUGGGGUUUUAGUGGCGGCAUGGAGUGCAUCACAUUCCAUAUCUAUCAAUAUGACUCUCGGCAAUGGAUAUCUCGGCUCUUGCAUCGAUGAAGAGCGCAGCGAAAUGCGAUACGUGAUGCGAAUUGCAGAAUCCCGUGAACCAUCGAGUCUUUGAACGCAAGUUGCGCCCGAGGCCUAUCGGCCAAGGGCACGUUCGCCUG